ACUGGAUUUGCUCGUAGUUCAGCUCGGCUCAAACAGGUCGAGUCUAGAAAUAGGCUGACGCAUAGACCCUCGAAGUGGGUCAAAAGAAACCCGGUUUCCUAUACCUAAAACGAUGCCGUUUUCUUUGUUCUAUAAAAGCCCUCUCUUUGUUUUUUUGUUGUCAUUUUUCACUUUUCUCUUAUCUGUGUUUUCCAUCCUCCUAAGGCUCUCUCUAAUAUUCAGAUGAAUCUCAGCACAGUUUUUCAGAUUCUGGCCAGUGAGUGCCACGCUAUUCACUGUCGUCGAAAUUGUCCGGAAAGCACUCCGCGAACUCGUCUGGCCUCCUUUUUUAUGUUCUCGAAUUGGUUUCUUCAUAAACUUGCUGGGCUUUUGUCAAUCUGAGCUUGAAGUUACGAUUCUGUUCCUGUUUUCCGCCGCUCUGAUGGCCACCAAAUUUGGAUCUCGUGUUGGUGACCUUGGACUGUUGGUGGUAACCAUGAUUGUUGUUGAAGCUCUGGGAUGGCUAUGGCCUUGGCAGUGGAAGGUUAUUGUGGCAUUUAAGGAUUAGACUAGAAAUUGAGUUUACUAAUUGUUAACUCAAAGAAAUAGGUUCAGUAUUGGGAUUGGAUGAUUAUGUGUUUGCUGGUUGGUUUUCUUGUUAAUAAUCACUUGUAUAUUGUGUGUUUUCCCUAA